GCAGUUUAUAGUAAUGGAAUAAAUGAUUAAAACAAAAAAAUAAAAAUCUUAUGAGGUUAACCUCCACCGGGCAACUUUGAUGGGGUACGGGAAGUAACAUUUACUCACAACCCUCAGAUUGUUCAGGAUCUGAAUCUUGAUCUUCUUAAUCUGAAAUAAUUAAAUCGGGGGAUGAGCUACACUACCCCAGCAAAAAAAAUCACAUUAAUCACUGAUACAAAAAAUAAAAAGUUUGUUAAAAAAAAUAAUAAAACCACCAAUGGAGCUAUUUAAUUUCUUAAAAAAAUUUAUUUGACUUAAAAAACGUUGUUUCAUACUUACUCUUAUGAAUUUCAAAAAACAACAUAUGAAGACAAUAACCCAAAUAAUAUUGAAUUUCAUAUCCAAAUGAGAAAUAAUAACAAUUUACCUUCUUAACUGUUUAUCAGUACCUCUAGGGGUCCAUAGAGAUCUCCCAUAUGCGUGAACCCAAAAUCCAAGUUAUUGAUUAACCGACCAUCUCUCAUACCCGUCCGGUAAUGAACGCCAAAUAUACUACUGUCUCAAUACCCCGUCCGAUAUGAGGAUAAAUUAUCCUCCCAACCUCUUCCGGUAUAGGACUUCUCAACUCCAUUCGACUGAACUAAUGCCCACGGUAGAGUUUUUCCUAUAUACUGGGUCUGUGCACCAUUUUUCAGAGUACCCGAUAAGCCUUUUGUACAUAGAUUCACAUCAUCAACCACUCAUCAGCCACACACCAAUAUCACAUUUUACCAAUCAAUAAUUAAUCAUGCAAUAGAUAACACGUAAACUAAUCUAUAGUAAGUCAUACAAUUUAGACACACGUAAACUAAUCUACAGUAAGUCAUGCAAUUUAGANNNNNNNNNNNNNNNNNNNNNNNNNNNNNNNNNNNNNNNNNNNNNNNNNNNNNNNNNNNNNNNNNNNNNNNNNNNNNNNNNNNNNNNNNNNNNNNNNNNNNNNNNNNNNNNNNNNNNNNNNNNNNNNNNNNNNNNNNNNNNNNNNNNNNNNNNNNNNNNNNNNNNNNNNNNNNNNNNNNNNNNNNNNNNNNNNNNNNNNNNNNNNNNNNNNNNNNNNNNNNNNNNNNNNNNNNNNNNNNNNNNNNNNNNNNNNNNNNNNNNNNNNNNNNNNNNNNNNNNNNNNNNNNNNNNNNNNNNNNNNNNNNNNNNNNNNNNNNNNNNNNNNNNNNNNNNUAAAACACAACGUUAUUGAUUAUUAAGUUUCAAUUUCCCAUAACAGGAAGAAGAGUGAGGGAUUCUUAUCCUAAAUCGAUAUUCGAAACACUGUACUUUUUACUGCAUCUCCUAGUGGUCUCCGAAUUUUCUGAAUUUUUUCUGUGGAAAUUAAAAAUACUCGACACAUAUACAAAAAUACUCCAAAAAGUCAAAAUAGGCAUUUUAAAACUUUUUCGGCCAAUUUAGGGUUCCGGCAUGACGUCGCCGCCCACGGUGAUGGUUCCUUUCAGCCUAGCCGUUUUCGGCCAGUUUACGCUGAUUUUGCAUGGAAACUUGCAAAAAACCAAAUUAGAAGGCCUCUGUUGGCCGAAAAAGGAAAAAAGCUGAAACCCUACAGGCCUACCAGCAAGAUCGGUUUAGGCCGAUUCAAUUUCGUCUCAAAUUCUAUUUUUUUUCAAAAAUUCUACAAAAUUAAAAUAAAAUAAGAUUAAAUUAUUUAAAUGUAUAAUUUUAUAAAUUGUAAAAUUAUCCUGGACCAAAUUUUUGAGUUCGGGUGUUACAGUCUCAUUUCUAUUUUUCAUCAUUCCGGGAUAAUACUUGUUAUUUCUAUUUAUGUUAGGUCCCUCAGUAUUGGCUUAAGUCUCUAAUGGUUCUUAUAGGUAUUCCCUAUGUUAGCCUAUGAAUAUUACUUAUUUCGCGCCUCUAGGUGGCUUCGAGGUGAAGUUACAUCUCCUUGAUUUUAAACUUGUCUAACUCAUCUUUAUGUAGGUCCUAAUGUUCGGGCUUCAGAAUACUCUAUUCUCACUUUCUUAUCACUAUUCCCACGUACACGUAUGUCCUAAUCCUCAACUAGGUUUCCACUAAAAGGUUUGUAUUGCAUGAUGAUUUUUUUAGUCAUAACCUCCAUAAAGCCCUAAGUCUCAUGUAACAAGGGAUGUCCAAGGGACAUGUGAUACCAACUACAACGUCCUGUAUUCCAGGAGGAGUCACAGGCGUCAUUUCGUCCCAUUCAAGAUAAAUUUACAACUCAAGUUAAGAUAAGAGUUCAAUAAAAAAAUUUUAGACAUUUACAUUGUAACAUUCCAACUUUUCUUACAAGAAAGAAAUGCUACCGCACUUAUAACUUUUACCUAAUAUGCAACAAUCUGAUAAAAAUUGACAUUUAUUACAUCCCUUGCUCAAAGUCAAGUAUCUGAGACUACAAUUUAUUUAGAACAAUUGUCUUACUUAUAUUCUAUUUAAAACUGAAAAUAACAAAAUUGUUGGCUUGUUUGGGACAGGAUCUGUGGAAGUCCUUGCAGGAAAUGGAUUCUCCUUUCUCGCAGGCACAAGCAAUUCCUUGCAAGAAAGGGACCUGCGCAUUUGUGUUAUGUGGCAUGUGUUUGCGGUGUCUUUGCGCUUGCAUGUGCACGAGUUCCAUGCUACUUGCAUAUGCAUUGUGCGCACUACAUGUCCCUCGUGUACAAGUAAAUGCCUGCAAGUUACGUUCCUGCGAGAUUAUGGUUUCCCACAAUAUAUAUAUAUAUAUAUAUGUACAAGUGCAGCAGUCACACGCAGUCAACAUACACACGAUAAUUAUUAUUUUUUAGGAAAUAUAUACCAACGGAAAACUUGAAAAUAAUCUAUCAAAUUAUAAUUACUCAUUUUGAAAUUAAUAAACCAUUUUAUAAAAAUAUGAAAUCCCCGAAUGAAAAACGAUUCAAUUCUUAUCUAAAGUUUGAUCAGAAAAGGUAUCAUGGUUCCCACUAGGUUCAGUCUAUGAUCUCCUCUAAUUCCAAUCACCAUUUGGAUAAUUCCAUUGUCUACAAAUAGAGAAUACAUGUAUUAAACGAUAAAUAAUGUCAGAAAUGAUAAAACACAGAAGAAGAAACUAAUUUUAUCUUAGACACGCGAUCUCGGUCAAUGGAGUUACCAUGUGUCGCCACAUGCGGCGCCAUACGCGUGUUACAAGGAUCGCCAUGCACCACCGCAUGUGCCACUACACACGCAACAGCACGUGCCAUCCCCAACGUCAACACGCGGUGCUGCACAUACUGUUGCCAGGAUCCCCACUCUCUGUCAUACACGAAUCUGCGUCUUCACACAGAUAUAGCUAGAAGAACGUCGCAAACCUGGGCUUCCUCCAUUGCACAUAGACCUAGAAAAAGUAUGUAGAUCGACAGCUCACUGAGUGCUGCGCACCAGACGCGAAUCUAGUUACAUCACACACCGAUCUUCUUUUCUGGCCAACCUGCCACAUACUCUUCUCCUUCAACUUGUGGACGAAUCUCGACUAUCCACACAAGCGCCGACCUUAUUCUUCUUUUUUUUCUUCUUGUGCAACCAACUCUCCUUGGUCGCGCUAGUUGUUCUCUCUCUUCCUCUCUUUUUUGCACUGCAUUGAUCUCUCUCUUGUCACGGAGCCGAGCUUCCUCAGUUGUUCACCAUCCCACACACCAAUCAUCGCCUCUCCUUUUCCUCUCUCACUCAGCAACAAUCUCUCACCGCCGUCAUUUCUCUCUCUCAGCCGCUCCCUUGCAACUAGGUUUCCUCCCUCUCCACAAAGAGCUAAGAGGAGGAAGCUUUAUAUAUGGGCUUCCGGGAGCGGGAGCCUUAGGACUUGCAAGCACAAAUAUGGGCCAUUCAUCCGGCCUGUUCAUUUGAACCAUCCAUUUUGUCUCUUCAUCUGGGCCAUUUAUUGUCGAUACUUACAAAUUUAUAGUUUGGCCCUAUUUUCGAAGAUUUUAUUCAUUUUAGUCAUUUUUUUCAAAUUUAAUUAAUUUUUAGGAUUCUUUUUUACAUUUUUACAUUUUUAGGGUUCCUAAUUAAAUUUUUAAAGCAUUCAAAUAUGAAAUUAAAUUUGUAAAACAUGAAUUCACUUCAUAUUUUAAUUUACGAAACCUGGGAUGUUAAAUUCUCCCUCCGUUAAAAAAAUUUAGUCCUCUAAAUUUGUAGUGACUAGGGUUCGAAAACAUUUUUACCUAUAUCUAAGUUUCCUCAUUGACCUAAUGGUGUCAUUAUAACCUUUCCACUUGGUGGAAUCGUUUUAAAGCGAAAUCUCUUCUUCUCAACUUCAACUAGUGAGGGUAUAAUUUUUUAAGAGUGUCUCUCUAAUUAAGAAAUUAUAAUACUUGGGAGUUUGAUGAUGCUUCAUCAUAACUUCCUUAGGAACAUUUGAUCUGGCUCAAGAAAUAUCAUCUAAGACUAUCUUUAUCCUCAAUAUGCAUUGAAACGUAACUUCUCCCAAUUAUAUUGUAUGCAAUUGUUAUUUCUAACUAACAUGACUUGGAAAGAUUAUUCCUAGUUCAAUCAUCAUCCUAAGAAUCUCUGACGAAAAAUAUAUAUCAUAUCCUAAACUCAUCACAAUAAUAAAUUUUUUAUUACCUAAAUAACCUCAAUGCCACAGUACGUUUCCAAUCUCCCAAGUUUCAUGUGUCCAAAUUAUUUUAUUUGUUUUCUAAUUUUCGAAAACUAAUAUAUGAUUAUGCGACAUAUGUCAUCUGCAUUCUCUAAAUAUACUAAAUAUAUGCAUUCUCUUUGAAGGUUUGGGAUUCUAAAUUAUGUAUGGAUUUGUAACGACCCCGGAAAUAUUAAAAUGAGUAUUUAAAUAUAUCAAAUGCGGAAGCGAGAUCAAAAUUUCAGUUAACAUCCCUUACACGAAAAACCAAAAACAUACUUAAAAUAUAAAAGAUUAAACUAACUAAGAGAGAAACUCGAAAAUAAAACUAUGAGUAUGACUACAGAGUCUCUAGGCAUCCCCUUCGUCGUCCUCCUGCGGAACGGGCUCGGGAACCAUGUCUUCCUGAUCUGAAAUGGUUAAAUAAGGAGUGAGCUACACUAGCCCAGUAAGAACAUCACGAUAUCUCACCGUCACGGAGGUAAAGGUGGGUAGAAAAAACACAAAAAGACCAAUGGAGCACAAUUUACAAUAAACUCGUUUAUUAACAUGAAAACCUUUACCAUCCACUUACCUUGGUGGAAUUUAUGAAAACAAUAUGAGAAAAACAAUAACAUCAUCAUAAUCAUUGAAUAAUCUAAGCUGUAAAACAUAACACUUAUCACGCCUCUUGUAAUUCAAUCAUUGUACAACAUAUCCCUUUUUCUCAUUUACCAGCCUACUAGUAUCCAUGGGGGUCCAUAGGGGUUCCGCUACCCGUUAACCUUUAACAUUCAUAAUCAGUUUCCAGGGCCGUCCCCAUACCCCGUCCGGUAUGGGCGCCAAAACCAUGAACCUCAAUACCCCGUCCGGUAUGAGGGUGAAACGGGCCGUCCCCAUACCCCGUCCGGUAUGGGCGCCAAAACCAUAAGAUCUCCAUACCCCGUCCGGCAUGUGAGACCACAAUCCCGGUAGGGUUCCCUACGGACCCGGUCCGUCCACCAUCUCCCAGGAUAUCUAGUCAGGCUGACCCCCAUAAUACAAUUAUCAGUCUAUACAAUCUUUCAUUUUCCUUUUCCUCAAUCAACAUCAUCAAUUCACAUUUAAACAAGCAAAUCGUAAUUCAUACCAACAGACAACAUACAAUAUCAGUUUUUCAGUCAUUCAACCCAUAAUUAAUAAAAACGUAGUAUAUGCACUCGAAACUAUAAAAUGAACACAUCAAACCUCAUAAUGCAUUUAAUGCUGUAAAACAGGUCAAAUAACAGUAAAUCAUAAAUCACACUAGACUCGGGCUCCAUUAGCAACCUUAAGCAGUUUCACACAUGCGUUAAUUCAAGGAAUACCGUUUUAUCAUUUUGAACUUUAAUACCGUGAUAGGAAAUAGGGUGAGGGGUCCUUACUUAUUUUCGGGAUCCGAAUACGAUUCACAGUGCGCCUGCAGGCUGUCCCUAAUUUUCCCUGAAUUUUUCCCGGGGAACUGAAACACACUAACAGUACCUGCACGUGUUCCAAAAAAAAUCCAAAUUAGGCUCAGGGCCUCUUUCGGCCCAAAUCGCAACUCCGGCACGGCGGCUCCGCCGUGCUCCGGUGACGGCGCCGCCGCUGGCGGCGGCGAGUCGCCUCGGGUUGACUGUUUUCGGCCGUUUUUGGCCGAAUUCGGCCACACUCGCAUUGGUCCUUGUCAGAAAACAACCCUAGGGCCCUCGGGGGGCCAAAAAAAUCACGGAAAAGCGGAGCUUACCGGCGGCGGCGCUCUCGGGUACGGCGACUCUCCGGCGAGGUUCGUGUUUUGGUGAUUUGGCUUCGGUCAACCUGUAGAGAAAAGAAUGGUGAUCACGGUGAUAUAAAAAUUGCAUCGAACGGAGGCCGGGAAGGGCCUCGUCGGAGGCAAAAACCGAGGGGGCGCGGCGGCGCUGCUGGGCUUCGGCCGCGUAUUCCGGCCGUUUGGCCGGGAUUUCGGCUUCGAUUUGGCCAUAGGAGGAAUCAGUGGGGAAAAACGAGUCGGGGGUAUGAAAUUUACCUCGAUCGGCGGUCGGAAAUUUCCCCGGUGCGGUGGCGAGUGGCGGCGGGUGGCGGCGGUCGGCCUCUGGUUCGUCUUCUCCGGCGAGCGGCUGGCGGCUAGGGUUUGUGGUCUGGUGUGGGGGUUCUAUUUAUAACCCCUUGCCUUUUGAUCACAGCCGUUCGUUUCGUUUUAAUCUGGGUCGUUCGUUUUUGAUUGAAUCUGGGCCGUCCGUGCGUUUGAAUCUGGGCCGUUCGAUCGCGUGAUUGAUCUGGGCCGUCGGAUCGCACCCACGCGGAUCGCCAACGUGGCUCCUUUCGGAGUGACGUGAUCUUGCCACGUGGCAGGCCCUGGUUGGCC
rnacentral:lncRNA from 1 species